CGAAAUCGGUAGACGCUACGGACUUA
rnacentral:tRNA from 2 species